rnacentral:rRNA from 1 species
AUUGAACGCUGGCGGCAGGCCUAACACAUGCAAGUCGAGCGGAUGAAGGGAGCUUGCUCCUGGAUUCAGCGGCGGACGGGUGAGUAAUGCCUAGGAAUCUGCCUGGUAGUGGGGGAUAACGUCCGGAAACGGGCGCUAAUACCGCAUACGUCCUGAGGGAGAAAGUGGGGGAUCUUCGGACCUCACGCUAUCAGAUGAGCCUAGGUCGGAUUAGCUAGUUGGUGGGGUAAAGGCCUACCAAGGCGACGAUCCGUAACUGGUCUGAGAGGAUGAUCAGUCACACUGGAACUGAGACACGGUCCAGACUCCUACGGGAGGCAGCAGUGGGGAAUAUUGGACAAUGGGCGAAAGCCUGAUCCAGCCAUACCGCGUGUGUGAAGAAGGUCUUCGGAUUGUAAAGCACUUUAAGUUGGGAGGAAGGGCAGUAAGUUAAUACCUUGCUGUUUUGACGUCACCAACAGAAUAAGCACCGGCUAACUUCGUG